GGAUGUGAGGGUGAUCUGGCUGCAACAUCUGUCACCCCAUUGAUCACCAGGUUUGAUUUGGCUGAUCUGGCUGGCUAGGUGGGUGUCCCCUUCCUCCCUCACCGCUCCAUGUGCGUCCCUCUCAAAGCUGGGUGCUUGGUCAAAGAGGACGGCCUUCCCCAAAUAGAGACAGACCAGUCUUAGGUCAAGGGUAUACGAGUAGCUGCACUUCCCUGCUAGAACCUCCAAACAAGCUCUGAAGAAAAGUUAGCUAGUAACUGUGUCCACCCAUGCAUACGUCCAUCUACUUACUUUUCCAUUUAUUUAACUUGGACAUAUUGACUGUCUUC
rfam:Erinaceus europaeus unplaced genomic scaffold scaffold00205, whole genome shotgun sequence